CUACGGGUCGCUGCAGUGAGGAAUUUUGCGCAAUGGGGGGAACCCUGACGCAGCAACGCCGCGUGAGUGAAGAAGGCCUUUGGGUCGUAAAGCUCUGUCAACUGGGAAGAAAUUAGAGUUGUUUAACAGAUGAUUCUAUUGACGGUACCAGUGGAGGAAGCGCCGGCUAACUCCGUGCCAGCAGCCGCGGUAACACGGGGGGCGCAAGCGUUAUUCGGAAUUAUUGGGCGUAAAGGGCGCGCAGGCGGUCUUGUCGGUCAGGUGUGAAAGCCCGGGGCUCAACCCUGGAAGUGCACUUGAAACAGCAAGACUUGAGUACGGGAGAGGAAAGCGGAAUUCCUGGUGUAGAGGUGAAAUUCGUAGAUAUCAGGAGGAACACCGAUGGCGAAGGCAGCUUUCUGGACCGAUACUGACGCUGAGGCGCGAAGGCGUGGGUAGCGAACGGGAUUAGAUACCCGGGUAGUC
rnacentral:rRNA from 1 species